rnacentral:ncRNA from 2 species
AAGAAUAUUCGAUGCAGGGGUGCCCGAGCAUGAGCAAGGGCUUAAAUCAGAAAGCAAGACCGGUGGAAAUCCGGCACAGUCCCGCCUACUGUGAAAGUCAGAACGCUGGCCCCUGGUAAGAAGCCCAG